AGAGUUUGAUCCUGGCUCAGGAUGAACGCUGGCGGCAGGCUUAAUACAUGCAAGUCGAACGGUAACGACCGGUAGCAAUACUGGGGCGACGAGUGGCGCACGGGUGCGUAACGCGUAUGCAACCUACCCUCAACCGGGGCAUAACGCCGAGAAAUUGGCGCUAAUAUCCCAUGUGUAUAUGGAGUGGCAUCUCUUCAUAUAUAAAGAUCCGUUGGUUAAGGAUGGGCAUGCGUAACAUUAGCUAGUUGGCGGGGUAACGGCCCACCAAGGCGACGAUGUUUAGGGGUUCUGAGAGGAUUCACCCCCACACUGGAACUGAGACACGGUCCAGACUCCUACGGGAGGCAGCAGUAGGGAAUAUUGGGCAAUGGAGGCAACUCUGACCCAGCCAUGCCGCGUGAAGGAAGACGGCCCUAUGGGUUGUAAACUUCUUUUGCCGCAGAGUAACCGCGGGGACGAGUCCCUGCCUGAGAGUAUGCGGCGAAUAAGUAUCGGCUAACUCCGUGCCAGCAGCCGCGGUAAUACGGAGGAUACGAGCGUUAUCCGGAUUUAUUGGGUUUAAAGGGUGCGCAGGCGGACCGUUAAGUCAGGGGUGAAAAGUUGGGGCUUAACUCCAAUCGUGCCUUUGAUACUGGCGGACUAGAGUGCAGGGGACGUGACUGGAAUGUGAUGUGUAGCGGUGAAAUGCUUAGAUAUGUCACAGAACGCCGAUCGUGAAGACAGGUCACGAAUCUGCAACUGACGCUCAUGCACGAAAGCGUGGGGAUCAAACAGGAUUAGACACCCUGGUAGUCCACGCUGUAAAC
rnacentral:rRNA from 1 species